rnacentral:rRNA from 1 species
GACCUGGCUCAGGAUGAACGCUAGCUACAGGCUUAACACAUGCAAGUCGAGGGGCAGCAUGAACUUAGCUUGCUAAGUUUGAUGGCGACCGGCGCACGGGUGAGUAACACGUAUCCAACCUGCCGAUGACUCGGGGAUAGCCUUUCGAAAGAAAGAUUAAUACCCGAUGGCAUAGUUCUUCCGCAUGGUAGAACUAUUAAAGAAUUUCGGUCAUCGAUGGGGAUGCGUUCCAUUAGGUUGUUGGG